rnacentral:lncRNA from 1 species
GCGACUCAGUGGUUGAACCCGAAUCAUUAGGUUGGUCAAAUCGAAACUAGUUAACCAAUUGGUGUCUAAGGUAAGUUUGGCAUUUUGAUUGAUGAUUUUUAAUUGGGAGCAGCUUACCUAACCAUCGAUGAUGUCUAAGACAAGCUUAACAGAUCCUCCUAUCGAUCUUACUUAUCUGACCAAUUUGGUGAACUAGAUUUUGAUUAGAUUGCUAAGUGAUUCGAGUUAUUAGUCCAUGCCAUUAGGAUUGAUCAGUGUGACUGAUCUAGGUGCC